rnacentral:misc_RNA from 1 species
AACUUUUAACAACGGAUCUCUUGGCUCUCGCAUCGAUGAAGAACGCAGCGAAUGGCGAUAAGUAAUGUGAAUUGCAGAUUUUCAGUGAAUCAUCGAAUCUUUGAACGCACCUUGCGCUCCCUGGUAUUCCGGGGAGCACGCCUGUUCGAGUGUCGUGAAAUUCUCAAACUGAGAUGCUUUUUUGUUUCUCGGUUUGGUGUUGGGCUUUGCAGUCCCCUUUGAUUGGUAUGGCUGGCCUCCAAAGCAUUAGCUGGCUGUUCAUGUGGCAUUGGCUCUACUCAGCGUGAUAAUGAUCUGACCGCCGAGGACAUCUUUCGAGAUGGCCAAUUCUCAUUUGGGCUGCUUCUAAUCUUGGUCGAGCAGAUUCUGAAUCUGUUCCACUUUUCAACUUUUGACCUCGAAUCAGGUGGGACUACCCGCUGCACUUAAGCAUAUCAAUAAGCGGAGGCU